UUAUUUUUUAUCAUAAUAUAUUUUGCCUUUUAAACAGAAUUUACACUAGUAGUUAGAUUUCUAGGUCAGCCCACAAAGACCAAGGUUCUCAUAUUAAGAUGAUCCUGUGCUUUAGGUAUCCAGUGACUUUGAGCAUUUAAAAGCUCAUCUGGACAUCAAACUGGGGUUGGUCAUUUCAUUUCUGGCAGAGUAUGCCUUGGAGUCCAUGCUGAUGAGGAGAUAUGACGGUGUCAAAGACUUGGACACAUUUGCUUUUUAGAACGUGAGACUAAUGAUCUAGUACAGGGACAGGCAAACUAUGUGUGGAACAGAUGUGUGUUUUUUCCACCUGCUUUUUUCUAAAUGAGUUUUUAGUGGAACACAAUCAAGCAUUUGCUUUUCCUAUUGUCUUUGGAUGUUUCUGUCCUAAAUAGUUGAUUUUGGUAAUUGUAAUAGUGAUCACUUGUCCUACAAAGUAUUUCCAGACUGUCCCUUUAUAGGAAAGUUCAAUGACCCCUAAAUGGCCUAAAUCAGGAGGACACCUUUUUUAACUAUGCCUUUUAUAUUUGUGCUGAUUUGAAUUGUUUGUCUUUUGCUCUACGUUAUAAAACUAUUAAAACAUCUCAAAUGUUUGUUCUACAUGCAAAUAUGGGGUUUUGAUAGUCAUGUCUUUAUUAAAAAUCAGUAGAUGAAUGUGGAGCAAACUACAGACAGACAGACCUCCUAUCUUGGAGACAAGGAGAAGAGUUAGGGGGAUAACUCAGGCAAGAAUUUUGUUGUUGUUGUUGUUGUUUUGGUACUGAGGAUUGAACUCAGGGGCACUCAACCACUGAGCCACAUCCCUAGCCAUUUUUAUAUUUUAUUUAGAAACAGGGUCUCAAUAAGUUGCUGAGGCUGGCUUUGAACUCAAAAUUCUCCUGCCUCAGCCUCCUUACCCAGUGGGAUGACAGGCACAGGCAAGGAAUUUUGAUGGCUAGAAUUAGCAUGGUAAAUAUAGAGAUGGGUGAAUAUAGGUUAAAAUAGAUUUGAUACAGAUUUUAGGAUGUAUAUCCUUGGGAACCUAAGAAGGAUGAUAGGAAGAGUCAAGAAGGAUAAAUACCCACAAUUCUGACCAUGACAAUUAUACAAAUGUGUAUUAUGAAAGUUAGAGAUGCAGAAUUUGUGGUUCCCAGUAAGGAGGAGGAAAUGCUGCUCUGCUGUACCGUUCUCUACCUCCAUUUGUACUUGCAAGGCUUAUGGAGCCCCAGUACCACUGAGAUAUUGUGUGUAUGUGUUUAUGUCUGUGAACUUGUGCACAUGACUUUAGAUUGUUGGCACUUGAUCUUGACAGUACAGUGCCUUCUGGUAUUUUAAGUCAGUUGGUGGUGCUAUAACAAAGUACCAUAGACUGGGUGGCUUAUACACAAUAGGAAUAUAUUUUUUCAUAGUUCUGGAGACUGUGAAAUCUAAAACAAGGUACUGGCAGAUUUGGUACAUGGUGAGAGCCUGCUUUCUAGUUCAUAGGCACACAUCCUAUUUCUGUGUCCUCUUAUGGUAGAAGAGGAUGGCUGAGCUCUCUGAUAAUUCAUUUAUAAGGGCACUAAUAAUCUCCAGUCACCUGCUGAAGUCUCCACCUCCAAACUCCAUCACAUUAGGGGCUGGGUUUCAAUAUUCAAAUUUUGUGGGGACAUAAAGGUUCAGCAUAAGGCAUCUUGCCUGUGGACUUAUUGUUGGAUUUUCAAUUAAUGAUGACUGUACAAAAAGCUUCUAAUAAGUGAGGCUUCUGUUGCUUGAUUGAGGCCUCCGUGCUAAGUAAAAAUUCCAUAUAGUUUCUUACAGUGUUGAUCCUAGGUGUCAAAUGCAAAUCCCAUAUGUUCCCCUAUAAGUCAUUCUGAGCAAAAGCAAGGACUUGUGCCAUGACUUCUCCCUGAGGAAGAAGCUGUAGGUCAGGAACAUGGCCAGCAUUGUCUUGAGCAGAACCAUCCCCCCCGUUGGUGACCCCACUGUUGUUCAUUAUUAUAAACUCCUUCCUAGUUCAUGGCAGCACAGAGAUGAACGCCACUCCUGAUCCCUUCCUUCUUCUGACCAAUGCCUCCUGAGUAAGAUAUAUAUUAUUAGUGUAGGUGGUUAAGAAAAACAUGAAUCAAUUCUGCUGUAAAACUUAAAUGAAAUUCUUCAAGGCAAACAACCAGAGUUCUAGGUGAGAUUAGCCAGUUAUAGCGUCCUUGUCUGUUAUCACUGAAAUUGUUUCUGAUGCUUUUCCAGCCUUUAUUGAAAUAUCCUAAUAUGAUCAAGUUCUCCUAAAAGACUGUAAGAUGUACGUAUUAGCUUCAUAACAAGGGUUUUCUUUUUCAUGUUAAAAAAUAAAAUCAGGGGAAUAAUUCAUAGUCUUCUGUCCUAACCUAAUAAACUAUCCAUUCAUCUCCUUUCCUAACAAAUAUCCUAGGACUCCUAUGAAAUAAAGGUCAUUUGUUCAAUUUGGAAUGAAUUAAAAAUGAAUGAGAGAUGAAGGAUGUCCCUUCAUUGCCAAUUUUCUUCUCUUGCAACUUUCUUCCCUCAAAGUUAUCCUUCAUGCAAGUAUCUGAGGUGAGGAUCUGAGAUUCCUCCUGGGCCUUGAUAUGAGAGACAGUACAGGGUGCAAAAGUGGUGUGUAAAGAGCAUAUAGAAUGUGUGACUGAUUGGUAGUGAUUGACUGAUGCCUUGCUGUGGUGACUUAAUGUCCCAUUCCUAUUGGAAAUUCUUAAUUUCAUUAACCUAAUUGCAAAACCAGUUUAAGAAACUAUAGAAAGUAAAACUUUUGAUUGAAUCAGUGGGUGGCUAUUCAUAGACACGACAUAUUACCGAAAGUAUUGAGGCUACGCAGGUAUUGGCAGGAUGGAUAGUAGCAUCAUCUUAGGAGGUAUCAGAUUCUGUUUCCAGAUGUGUGGUGAAGUUGUUCCAAGAGUUGGCACUUCUGUAUCCCUGGGGUCCCUACUCAGUGAAUUCUGGUACCACUGUAUUAUGAAGAAUUAAGUUCUAGUUCAAACCCAUUUCUUUUGAACACAGACCCCUGUUUUACCCUGACUUGAGGUUAAAGUCUUCCUCAUGAUCUGAUUUCAGAUCUUCACUGAAAGUGUCCCUGAACUGAGAAGCAUCAGCAGCAACAACUAUAAUUCAGAGCCAAACUGCCAGAAACUAAGGAUGGACAAACCUCCCCUCCCAAGCCCCUUCUUUGACCCUGGAUUUCACAGGUAGAGAAAUUCCACAUACUCCUUAAGAGGGACAGAGCUGGGAGCACAAGGUUUUCUGGGAAAACCAGUGGCAGAGGCUCCCUGCUUUUCUACAAGACACUUAUCUUCUUACUCAGGGAACCAAUAUUUUCUUCAACCAAGUGGAAGUCCAUGGGCUUUCUCUUUUAUUUGAGUACCCACCCCAGCCUCAGAGCCAGUUGACCAACGGGAAACUGUAUGGGGCUUUUCUAAGCCCUCUGGGGGAACUCAAAGUAAGUCUCAGUGGAGAAAAUGUAGGAUUGGCCUGUGGUCUUGGUUGUAACCCUGUCUCUUAUAAAAUUGUGGUAUCAGAUGAAAUAUGAAUAUAGUCCCUGAAAAGUGUAGACUUGUCACAAAGGCAUGAUUAACGGUAAGUCACCAUGAUUGCUUCCUAUCUGUCAUUCAGGGGUCUGUCUUCCUGAAUCAUUGUAAAAGUUGUUCAUAUUCUGGCUUCAUGUAUGUGUGUGUGUGUGUGUGUGUGUGUAUAAAGGCUCAACCCUCAUAUCAUUAGUUUCAAAAUCAGUUGUUUUGCCAGUGUCUAAUUGUGUGACAGUAAACAUUCACAUAAUCUCUAAGCCCAAAUUUUCUCAUUUACAUGCCUACUGUGCAUUCUUGCUCAAAUAAAAUCUCAACUUUAAUUUUGGAACCUCAGGGUCUCAGGGCUAGGUGGGAAGCUUGUAUAUCAUCUGAUAUGGCCUUUACCUUAUGCUCGCACUCACCCCUCACCAGCCUCACAGACAAAUGAUCCUGCAACUUCAGACUGAAACUGACCUGGCUGUGAGCUAACUCCCUCAGGAGUUCUGAUUGGUAGGAAGUUCUUUAUUGUGGUAAGAUGAACUCUAUACCCUCUAGUUACUAUUACCUGUUGGUAUCUGUGUUACCUCUGGAUCCAUUAACCUAAUUUAAUCACGACAUUGAAUAAUUCUGUAAAUGCCAUUACAUUUUUUUUUUAACAUAAUCACUCAGCUCCUUUGCUGGCUCCACCUUUGGAGAUUCUGAUCUGAGUUGAGUUAUAAAACAGCAUCAGGUAUUUCUAAACAUUUCCAAGUGUUCUUGUUGCUUUGUUCUGAUGAUCCCCCAGAGGCAUGAAUUCUACUGCCAUGAAUGGAAGAGCAGGUGUCUUAAACUUGGAUUAUUUUAUUUUAUUUGGAAGUGAUUUCUCCUUCUUAUGACCUUCAUUUAUUUUUUUUUUAAUUCUAAACAAAAAAAAAAGAUGAAUACAAUUUUAGAAGAGAACUUGAAAGCUUCUAAGUAACAAAAUGAAAGUCAUUUGUAACUCAACUAUUUGUAAAAAUAUAAAUAAGACUGUAUUUUAUGCCUUGUAUCUGGAUCAUGUUUCAGUAUAUGUAUUUAUAUGCAAUUGUUGAAACUGGCAGUCCAUGUGGUUCUAGGUGCUAACCUGGUACUGAGCAUUAUGUUGUCUUUUCGUAAGUAUUAUCAUAAUGGUUGCAUCAUAAUAUUUUGUUGAAUGAAUGCACCAUAAUUUACUUAAUGAAUCCCCGAUUGUAAUCCCCACUUUGGGUUCAGUUUUUAGGAACACCAAGGCUAUUUUCUUUGAAGAGUGGAAAUAUGAGAAAAGGUAAUGCCUGUAGGUUCCCAUCACAAAAUAUUUUUUUCCCAAGUGUUAAAGUAACCCCUUCACCCUUUUUUUUUCUUUUCUUUUCUUAAAUUAGAGUCACUAGGGCAAGUGUGUCCAAUCCUGUUGGAGCUGGAAAGUUGAAAACACAGGUUGAUGUGCAUGUGUGUGUGUGAAUUGUACUUCCCAAAUUCAAGCUUACAGUAUCAUAUUGGUGAUGUCUGUGACAAACAAGACUUCUUUGGUUUGUCCCUUUUACAGAUUCAAAAGGCCCACCCAGGGCUGGAACAACCUUUUCCUCUGAUAUUCAGAAUUUUCUUGGAAAUUACUAUCCCUCUGUGUGAGGAAGAAAGCUUUUAAUGCACUUGAACCCAGAGCAGAAAUCAAAAUAUUCCACGUGUGCCUCGUAUUGACAUAAUUUGGAUCCACUUAUUUAUAAGCACAUCACCCUGGUGGCACAAAGGUUCCACCUUCAAUGAUCAGAUCAGUACCCCAGGGUUACUGUUAAGAGUGGCAGUAUCCUCUCUACUCUGUAAACAUAAUCAAUUCUAGUUAUGUUCUUCAUGUGUCCAUUAAAAAAGGUGGAUGAGAGCUACCAAGAUGACUCCCUGGUUUUGGUAGUGAGGUACCCAUAUCGGGUGGGCAGAUCCUCCUCGUGGUUGACUAUGAUAAGUAAGAGUGAAGCAUUUUGCUCCUCUGCCGCAGUCCGGCUGCAGCAAAAUAACCGGGGGGGGGUGGGGGGGGGGGGACAAAUAACUUGUGUAUGUUGAUACAGCAGGAGUAGGAGCCCUUUAUUGCAGGACAGGAGCAGUAUUUAUACAUUCCACACAGCUUAUCUAAUUAGCAUAAACUAGAUACAUCAGUCAACCAAUAAGGAAUCUCCACACUUAAUGGCUUGUUUUUGUUACUUCUCAAACCACUCCCUCUGGCAUUUUGCCAGGCACCAUCCAGACUUGUUUACGAACUUUAACAUUCCCCUGGCAAAAUGCCAGGUGUUAUUUUGACUUGUUUACAGACUCUAACACUCCUCCUUUCCCACGAUAUAACUUUAAUAACUAGGAAGGCCAGGACCUUUUAACUACUAACUUUGGUUCAAAUACAAAGAAAAAUGAUUAUCGAGAUUGAUCUUUUGAUAUACCAGGGAUGAGAGAAGCCAUGCAGAUUAGGAGGAAAGGGUAGUGAUGGCCAACCUUAUCUAUAGUUCAUAUAUUUAAAAUUCAGAACUGUGGACAUCCUGAAUCGAAAAGUUUUUGGCCACUCAAAAUCAAAAUCAGCUUCUCAAAAAGAGACAAGACACUCUGCUCAUAGAAUGGAACCACCAUAAUCUGUCAGUGAAUUUCUCAGCACAAACGUUGCAGGCUAGGAGAGAGUGGGAUGAUGUAUUCGAUGUCCUGAAAGAAAAAAAAAUUCUGCAAGCCAAGAAUACCAUGUUUAACAAGAUUGCCCUUCACAAAUGGAGGCAAGAUAAUGAUAUUCCCAGAUAAACAAAAGGUGAGGAAGUUCAUCACCAGUAAACCUGCCUUACAAGAAAUGUUAGAGUGAGUUCUUAAAGUGGAAGUGAAAGGAUUCUAUUUAGUCAUGUGAAAAUAUAUGUAAGUAUAAAAUUCUGGUAAAUAUAUAAUGCAUUUCAGAAUAUUUAAUUCUAUAUUGGUAGUAUAUAAAUCACUUUUGUAUAAAGAUUAAAAUACAAGUAUUGUAAAUACUUAUAGCUAUAAUAAUUUGUUAAUGGAUAGAAAAUACAUCAAAGAUCUGAGUUGUGACUUUAACGCAUCAAAUAUGGGGUGGCUAAAAGUGUAUGAUUUUUGUAUGUUCUGAAACUUAGCGGGAUAAAAGCUAUUAUAGGGCAAUAACCACAGCAAAAAUGUACAGUAGAUCCACAAAGAUAAAGAAAAAAGAAUGAAAACAUAACCACCGAAGAAAAACAUCAACUCACAAAGGAAGAUAGUCAUGUUCUUCAUGUGUCAUUAAAAAAGGUGGAUCAUAGCUACCAAGAUGACUCCCUGGUUUUGGUAGUGGUACCCAUGUCGGGUGGGCGGAUCCUCAUCAUGGUUGACUAUGAUAAGUAAGAGUGAAGAGCAAGGAAGGAAGAAAGGAGAAAGAAGGAACAAAGAAACUACAAAACAGUCCUCAAACAAAAACAAAGUGGUAAGUAGCAAGUUCUGACCUUUCUGUCCUUAAUUGCUUUGAAUGUGAAUAGGUGAAAUUCUAUAAUGCAAAGACUAGGAUGGCUGAACAAACAUUAAAUAGAGAAAAAGAAAAGAUUCAAUAUAUGCUUCCUACAAGACACAUACUUCAGACUUAAAUAAAAACAUAAGCGAAAAGGGAGGGUAUGUGAAAAGACUCCAGACAAAUUAGAAACCAAAAGAUAAUAGGGAUAGAUAUGUUUAGACUAAGUAAAAUGUAAAUAAAAAAUUAACAAAAAAAGAAGGUAGUAAGGAAUGGAAAAGGGGUCAGGUAAUAAGAGGGUAUAAUAAUUGUAGUUAUAUAUGCAACCAGCAGUGGAGCAUCUAAAUAUAUUAAGCAAAUAUUAACAGAUCUGAAGUUAGUAAUAUCAGUAUUAUGAAAAGGGCCAAACACCAUGAUCAAGCGGUAUUUAUUUUGGGGAAUGAAAGGAUGGUUUAAUAUAUGCACAUAAGUGUGAUAUUCCACAUGUCUAGAAUGAAUGAUGAAAACCAUACAAUCAUCUUAAUGGGUGAAGAAAACAUAUUUGACAUAAACCUUUUCAGGACAAAACUCUGAUGAUGUGUGUGUGUAUAAAUAAAUGCAUGCACACAGACAAUACAAUAUUAUUCAGCCAUAAGAGAGAAGGAAAUCCUGCCAUUUUUAACAACAUAGAUGAGCACGGAGGGCAUUAUUGCUAAUGAAAAAAGCUAGACAGAGAAAGGAAAAAUGGUGUAUGGUAUCACUCUCAUGUGAAAUUUAAAGUAACAACUGCAAUACACUCAGAAUAGAAUGGUAAUUGCCAAAGGUUGAGGAAAAUGUUGAGAUGUUGGUCAAAGGUUACAUACUUUAGUAAUAAGAUAAACACAUUUAAAGUUCUAAUGUACACCAUGGUGAUUGUAUUUAAUAGUGCUGUAUUUCAUGCUUGGGAUUAAUUUUCUAUAAGGAUAGAUUAAGCAUUCUUAACAAAAAAGAAAAAGUUAACUCUGUGAGGUGAUAGAUGUGGUAAUUAGCUAAUUAACUUGAUUACGCUAAUGACUUCAUAACAUUUAUGUGUAUCAAAUCAUCACAUUGUGCACUUUAAAUAUAUACAAUUCUAUUUGUCAAUUAUAACUCAAUAAAGCCGGAGAUUAAAAAAAAAAAAAAAGAAGAACAGUAGCUUCUAUUUUCUUUUUUCUAUGUGCAAAAGGCAUUCCUGUUCUUUGUUUCUUAAGAAUUGAGGGGCUAUUGGAUUAUAGGAUGAGAGAUAUAGAUAUAAGUAAGAGAUAUAUAGGUGACUUAGCCACAACACAAUUUGGUCAAUUCUCCAUGGAAGUUUUGCCCCCCACAAAAAAGUGCAGAUGGAUCUCUGGGUCAGUGGCCUGUGAAAAUAUCGGAUUUUUUUCCUUCAUUUUUCUAAAAUAUCAAGGAAAUGAGAGACAGGUUUCUUUAUCAUGUGCCCAGUUCUCCAAUGGAAGAAGACAGAGGUGCCAUUACCCUAGAAGAUACUCCAUAUCAAGUCAUGCUAUGGCCUAUAAGCCUUCCACAAAAGCUGUUGGUCACUCCCAGAAUUCCAUGUCAGUCAAAUACAGAGGGUUGCACAUUUUGAAACCUUAUUCAGUAAAGCAUUCAAGCACUGAAGAGGGGGUAGAAUGAUUGACAUAGACCGGGGCUGCUGGAAUAGGUAGGUUCCAAAUAAGAACAGAACCAUGAAUUACAACCAGGGCAGGUGGUCAGCACAAGGCAGAAACUGAUUCAAACAGGAAGACAAGCCAAAAAGACAAAAAUUUCAAAGGCAGACUAAAGUAGGUCAUAAGGUCAAAAAGCAAAUGACUGUCAGAAGUCACAAGGGCAGGGCCAAGGUAGCAGGGUGAGCCAAGAAUAAGCCAUCUCCUUCAAUCAGAGGGAAACCCUUGCUACAUUCCGAAAGUGUUUGUUUACUUCAUAAGGCAGAGGUACCUGUUUGGCUCUUGGGGUUUAUAUGGGCCUUAUGGGUGGUGUUAUAAUUAAAUAGCAGAGUAGUACUUUAACACUCUGCUAAUUCUCAGGUUAUAUUUGUAAACAAGCCAGGGAAGCUUGAAGUGAUGUUUCACAUUAGCAGUAUACAUUUUGGUACACUAGAGAUCAUUUUAAGAAUAAUUUUGAUUUAUACUUGCGCACUCACCUCAUUUAUUUUAUAAGUCUAGACUUUAAAGGAGGAUCCUCCUCAAAUAUUUAGGAAGAACAACUUAUCACUUGUUCAACACCCCCUUUAAAAGUCUAGAAGCCUUCCUUUUGGGACUUAGACUGUUGUCUCUGUGAUAUGGCCCCUCCUUUCCCACCUGCUCAGGAAAUGUGAGCUGUGAAUUGCAGCUGAUUUGGAAUUUAAAGAGACUGCAACUCAAGUGUGACAGCAACUGCGCUAUUUGUUCACCAGACUGUUAAGCCUGUCAUUACCCAAGGCGACCUUAGAGCAAACUCUUAUUUAAUUGUUUAAGCACGAGAAGCAAAAAUGUCUAGGUACCCUGCUUCUCUAAAUUUUUUUUUCCUAUUGGGGCUUUUUUUCUCUACUAGUUAGCAUUUAAAUCAAAGAAAUAUAAACUAGGUGAGAUGACCUCUUGAAGACUGAAGAUCACAAUAAAAUUGUAAUAUGCAAGAUCUCAAGGGGAUGAUUCAGGAAAAAUGUGGCAUACAAGAAAUGUUCUUCCACACUUUUCUACAAAUAAUUUUAAACUUUAUUUAUUUAUUUAUUCAUCUAUUUUGGGUUUAAAUGGCCACAUGGCUAAAGUAACAAAAUCAGAUGAGUAGGCCCUAUUUCUUUGGCUCACUCCUUGAUCCUUUUAAAGCUAUAGGUACAAGACUGGCAAUUAGUUCCUGAGUGGCAUGAACAGUGCCAUUUUGCUUAUUUUCAACAAGUAUUAUCUGUCAUCCUUCAUUAGAUUGACCCAGAAACUGUGGGAAACCAUGACCCAAUAUUUAAGGGGAAUCAAGAUUAUAAUCACCAGUGUUGAACAUGAUUUUAUCAUUGGUGCUCCUCAUCAGUUGGUAUGUUUUCAGUUCCCUGGGGAGAGGUUACAGAAUUCCCAAGAAGAUCUUCUAUGAGCAAUUGGAAGGAAUUUUUCUCAAUAUCUCUAGUAUGUUUUGCUUUGCGGAACAUGGCUGCAUUUGAGAGGAAGGUGUGUUUGACUUUUCUCAAGGCUGUGCUUUAUUGUUCUUAACUCCAAUGGUAUUUAAAGGUGAAAGGAUACAAAUUAAAUCACAUGCAUAUUCUGUAAGACCAUAGACGAUAGGCAGGUAAGGUUCAGGGGUAGGCUGAAUGUCGGCAGAUUUCCAUCUCCAGCUCAGUGUUAAAAUAUUGCAGCGAGAGUACGAAGAGGAAAAACUGGUAUUUUUUCUAUUUUAUCUGUAAAGCUCACUCUGGGCUCAGGCCAAUAAAAUGUUUGGCCAAUAAAAUAUUAACUCAUAUUCAUGCAAAAGCUUCAAAAAUCACUUGCAUGAUAUGUUCACCUUUUCUUGGAAAUUUGCUACCAUCAGUGUGAGUAUAGGUUAACAUGCCUAAACCUUGGCAUGAGAAGAUAGUAAAGGUGUUUUAUUCAAUUAGCUGACAUCCUGACAACUUCCAAAUAGGAGGGAGCCUAACCAAGACAGGCAGAAACAUUUAACAACCUUGUAUUUGUAGCAGAGUAGCUGAGGGCAGACACAAAAUGAGCCUACCUGAGCCCAGCUUAGAUCAGUGUAAUUGCUCAAUCACCCUAUAAACUCAUAAAAUGUAAGAAAUGUUGACUGUUGUAUAACAAUGAUAUUUUAUGUUGUUGAUCACACAGCAUUAAUGUGGCAAUAGAUACCUGACACACCAGCCCAAUGAACAUGAUCAGUGAGUGUUAGCUAUAUACAUCUCAUCUCAUUGAAUCUAACGUGCUUUGAUAAUGGUAUCUCCUUGCUUUUUCUAGAAGCUAUCUAUAGAAAGCUUCUUUACAAUGGCAUAAUAAUCACCAUAUGGCAGGCAGUGACUUUUAUAUUCCAUGAAUUCAAAGAUGCAUCUUUAAUUCAAAUAUGCUAUAGUGCUAAAUUUCUGGUUAUUGUGGAAAAUUUUGUUAAAAAUCUUUAGGAUACCAGUGACCUGUGAGUGCAACUGGGUGCAGCUCCUUGGGACUUGAGUGGCUGUAGAUGCAAAGAUUGCAGCUUGGUAUAUUAUGGCAUCAGAGUCUCAGUCAGGCUCACUGAGGUCAGAGGCACCUGUAACUGGCCAGUGGACCUCUCCAUUGAAGCAGAUCAGUGCUAUCCUUAUUUUCCUUAGUGACAGGAGCAGUGUGGGACUCUCAUGAGAGUUUCCAGUUUGCCUAAACACCACAAUGGCAAAGCCUUCACAAAUAAGGCUUUCUUCCACAUUUACAGUUUGAGGGGUAAACUAUGCCCCCCAGGAUCUCUUAAUGCUAAACUGGGGUAGUGUUUAAUUGUGCUGCAUAUAAGUGAUAUGAGACAGCCAAGAAGAGUUUAAAUACAACAAUUAUGGCAAUAGUCAGGGAGACUUUAAAUACUACAAUUAAAAUUACUUGUUGUGUGUUUUGCAUGUUAUGUUUUGUCGGGGUCUGUAUACCAGACACAGAUUAAUAUUUUAUUCCCUAUAUCAAUAUUUUAUAGUUUUUAGUAGAAUGAGGUAAACGAGGUUAGUAUUUUGUGUUUAAAUUUUAAAUGGAAGUUUACAGACAUUGCAAGAAAAUUAAUACUGUUAUUUCAUUGUUAUUGGACCAAAAAAAGGAGAACACAGGUUGAGCCAAUACUUGGCUCCAAAUAACUUUCACCUGCAAUUUUUCUUUCUUUCGUAGAAAUCGUACUCAUCUUUAAACAGAAGUAAAUAAAGCAAGGUUCUCUAAGCACCUUUCAUAUCCUCUGAGGGCCACUACAAUGAGGAGUCACCAAAGUAUUACAGAAUUGAUGGCACAACACAGGGAUCAUGCUUGUGCCUUCCAUGGUGAAAGCCCUAAAGGGAGAAAUUAUUGGUUCAGAGGAAUCAGCCUGCUCUAGCUGAAUGAUGAGCUCAUUCGGAAUCUUCUUUCUACCAAGGGAUGCCCAUGACUAGGAAAAUGUCUUUGCUUUGUUAAAAAGGCCUCAGCCAAAGCUACCGAAUGACCUUCCAUCUUAAAUCCAGCUUUGGUUUCCUACCAAGUGAACCCUUCAUGGUUCACUGGGAGGUCAGUGGUACUGACCAGGUAGUUUGGAGAGAGCAUGAGUUUGGGAGUCACAAAAACCUUAACCCAAGUUCUGGCCUUUCCUGUGAAAUGCCAACCUGAUUUUGCUAGGCUCUUUACUCUGAAUGUCAAUUUCAUCCUUAAGUAAAGGGUGGUUAAUUUUCACCUUGUAAGAUAUGAUGAAAAUUAGGAAAAAUGAGAUACAGCAAACAACUACAUAAAGAGGUCAGUUUCAAUUUCCACCUUUCCCUUCCAUUUUAUUAUUUUUAUUUUGGGAGGUACCAGGGAUUGAACUCGAGGACAAUCAACCCCUGAGCCACAUCCCCAGCCCUUUUCUAUAUUUUAUUAUAGACAGGGUCUCACUGAGUUGCUUAGUGCCUCACUUUUGCUGAGGCUGGCUUUGAACUAGCGAUCCUCCUAUUUCAGCCUCCCGAACUACUGGGAUUUCAGGUGUGCACCACCAUGCCUAGCUAUUUUAUUAUCUUGCUAUUUUCCAGUCUUGAAUGCCUCUCUUUGGAACUGGGUAUUGCUAGUACAUUUGCCUAAAUGUUCAGGUUUGCCCGCUACUAAAUGAUAGAAGUCUAUUCUCCUCUCCCUUGAUGGAGCAUUCCCCCUUCCAGUGGACUUCUCUGAAGUGACCACCAGCAAAGAGCACAAGUAUACACCUCUGCUGUUCACACUACUCUUCCUGAUUUCUCUGUCUCUGUCAAUGCUAAUGCCAUUCAAUGGUCAUUCUGUGCUCUCUUUCCUUUCCCAGGAGAGUCACAGUACCACUGCUUACCCCUCUUCAGCGCCAGACUCCGUAGCAACCAGGUUGGGAAGAAUGUGGAUGGAUCAGUGCAGCUCAUCACCAUGGAACCUCAUUUAAAGAGAAUUUGAAAUGUGCCAGGUGGUAUUCCAGACCUCAGGACAACAGAGACAAAUACCUCAAGAAGUUCAUACACCAGAGGAAGACAGGCACAUAAACAGAUAAGGACCACAUGGAGGAAUCUAUGCUGGAAUGAAGAUUUGUAAAAAGAGUUGGAAUUGAUAGAUAUGUGGUUUAAUAAAAACAUUACUGUGAAUUUAACAUAUGGAGGGACUGCCAAAUGAUUUUCAAAAGCAGCUGUACUAUGUCAAAAUCUCACUAGCAAUUUAAGAGAAAUCAACUUUUCCACAUCCUUGUUUACAAUUGUUACUGUCUUGUCUUUCUUUUUAGCUAUGUUAGGGAGGUUGAAGUAGCACCUACUUGUAGUUUUGAUUUGCAUUUCUCUGCUGACUACUGAUGUUGAACAUUUUUAAUGUGCUUUUUGAUUAUGUGUAUAUCUUCUUUGAAUAAAUGUUUUCAUAAAAAUAAAAAAGAAAAGAUGUGAA